rnacentral:rRNA from 1 species
ACACAUGCAAGUCGAGGGGUAACAUUGUGCUUGCACAGAUGACGACCGGCGCACGGGUGCGUAACGCGUAUAGAACCUACCUUUUACAGAGGAAUAGCCUUUAGAAAUGAAGAUUAAUGCCUCAUAGUAUUGUAGACUGGCAUCAGUUUAUAAUUAAAGAUUUAUCGGUAAAAGAUGGCUAUGCGUCCUAUUAGUUAGUUGGUAAGGUAACGGCUUACCAAGACAGCGAUAGGUAGGGGUCCUGAGAGGGAGAUCCCCCACACUGGUACUGAGACACGGACCAGACUCCUACGGGAGGCAGCAGUGAGGAAUAUUGGACAAUGGAGGAGACUCUGAUCCAGCCAUGCCGCGUGUAGGAAGAAUGCCCUAUGGGUUGUAAACUACUUUUAUACAGGAAGAAACACUGGUAUGUAUACCAGCUUGACGGU